GGUGGGCAGUAAAUCAACUCCUGCUAGAGGCACAAGGAGGCUCAUCACCCCACCCUCCAUUGGCUGUAACCGGUUCCACUCAACCCAAUCCGUCGACCUUCCUUCCUACUUAAUUUGCCCCUUUUCCUUCUACUUUCCUAUUCCUCCCAGCAUUUUCUCUUUCACAUGCCCACCCCUCAUCUCCUUCCAGUGCUUCUACCUUAGAUUUUCAUUGAACUCCUUUUCGUCACCUCUCCCUCCACCAACCCAAUUUUCUCAGUUCAUCACUGCCAGUUGCGUUUUCCAUUCCAUCCAUGUCUCCCUGGAUUCCUCCCCCAUCCUCUCUUCUCACAUCCUGCUGGCACAAUCCUCAGAGAACCAGAAAAGGAGGGUAGGUGUUCAGCGACAAGCUCACCUUGAUGUAGGGCAGGCAAUCAGAGUCCAGUAUGUCCGCCCAUCUCAAGCAGAAAUGCAAAAAGACCUCCAACCGUCCUGAGAGCGGACACCAGGCAAAACAACAAGCAGAAGAGCGCGAUGAAAGAGCUAUCAUCUCUGUGUGACAUCAUCAAAGCACUUCACACACUCACUUAAAAUACAGUGACACACAUCAUAGCUGACAUCCAUCUGUUAUGGCUGUGAAUAAAGAAUUACCCGCAACUCAAA